rnacentral:rRNA from 1 species
UUACACAUGCAAGCCUCCACGCACCAGUGCCCACAGCCUAUUAACUACUACAUACCAUAGGACAGGGUAUCAGGCACAACCUUUUCCCGGCCCACGACGCCCAGCACCGCCACACCUCCACAGGACCCAGCAGUGAUACACCUUAAACCAUGGCCUAGGCCGAUUUAGUUAUGACUACACCAGGGUCGGUAAAUUUCGUGCCAGCCACCGCGGUUACACGAAAGACCCAAACCAACCAUCCCCGGCGUAAAGCGUGACCAUUGGGCCAGGACCAAGGGCCGAAGACAGAAUUACACCAACUGUAGUAAAACACCCAUAAAUGUAAGAACCCCCCCCCCUCUUCAUACCUGAAGGCCACCCCCCCCCUCACGAAAGUCAGGACACAAACUAGGAUUAGAUACCCUACUAUGCCAGACUAUAAACACUGAUUAUACAACACACAUAAUCCGCCAGAGAAAUACAGGUGCAAAGCCCAAAACUCCAAGGACUUGACGGUGUCUCACACAACCUAGAGGAGCCUGUCCUGUAAUCGAUACCCCACGCUACACCCAACCCUGUCUUGCGAAACACAACCUAUAUACCGCCGUCGUCAGUUCGCCUCCUGAGAGAAAACUACGCGAACAAAAUAUUUUAACCACUAACACGUCAGGUCAAGGUGUAGUCUAUGACAGGGCAGAGAUGGGCUACAUUCUCGCCACUCGAGCACACCAACAGCAAUAUGAAACUUAAGCCAAAAGGUGGAUUUAGCAGUAAACCAAGCAAGACAUGCCUGCUUGAACAAAGCCCUGAGACGCGUACACACCGCCCGUCACCCUCAUC